UCACUCUUGCAGCACACAGAACAAUACUAGAACAUUACAGAGAAGAUUAGCAUAGCCCUUGUGCAAAGAUGACUCACAGAUUUGUAAAGUUGCCAUAUUUUU